rnacentral:rRNA from 1 species
CUCAGGGAGGUAGUGACAAGAAAUAACAACACUGGAAAUUUUAUUUCUAGUGAUUGGAAUGAUGGGAAUUUAAACCCCUUUCAGAGUAACAAUUGGAGGGCAAGUCUGGUGCCAGCAGCCGCGGUAAUUCCAGCUCCAAUAGCGUAUAUUAAAGUUGUUGCAGUUAAAAAGCCCGUAGUUGGAUGUCUGCUGGAAGCAAUCAGUCCGCCCUAUUUGUAGGGUGUGCACUUGAUGAAUUCUGGCAUCUAUGUCCUAAUGUGAUAGAUACGGCGGUGUAUAUGGGUUAAUCCUAUAUACCCGUUUUUGUAUAUUAUAUUGGGAUAAUACCGUUACUUUGAGAGAAUUAGAGUGUUUGAAGCAGGCUAAUUGCCUUGAAUACUGCAGCAUGGAAUAACAAUAUGGGAUUCCGGUUCUAUUUUGUUGGUUUCUAGGACUGAAAUAAUGAUUAAUAGGGACAGUUGGGGGCAUUCGUAUUUAACUGUCAGAGGUGAAAUUCUUAGAUUUGUUAAAGACGAACUACUGCGAAAGCAUUUGCCAAAGAUGUUUUCAUUAAUCAAGAACGAAAGUUAGGGGCUCGAAGACGAUCAGAUACCGUCGUAGCCUUAACCAUAAACUAUGCCGACUAGAGAUAGGAAAAUGUCAUUUUUCUGACUU